GGGGGUGUAUUCUUAGGACCCUCUGCAUCGUUGUUAUCUUGAUCUUCUACGGAAAAAUCUUUAUCAACGUUAGCAAGCGCCUCCAGAACCUCCUCUUCUUCAUUCUCUUCAUUCGCAUCAUCCUCUUCUUCCGCAAGCGCCCGAUUUCGAACUUCAGUAGCUUCCUUGGGGUACUUGCGGGCCCAGUCAUGGACAUCUGCAGCCUCGAAACCCGGGCAAACAUGAGGACCCAGAUCAACCAAGUCAUUGUAAUCUUGC
rnacentral:lncRNA from 1 species